AUUGUAUUUCAAACGCAAAACGAGUGAAGUUUGAUAAAAUGCAAAGGAAGUGGAAACAAAAGCGAGGGAAAGAAAGCGGAAGGUGAAAGGGGGUUGUUUGUUUGAGUUGAGUGAGUACUUCCUAGUGUUUUAGAAGAGAAGAUGGAGACUCUUAAAGCUGCGAUUCCAGAAGGCCUGAAGCGAGUGAUUGGCGAUAGCACUGUCGAUGAUCUUCGCAACACGUGUUCUUCUCUUCACCACUUCUUUCUCCAGUUCGAGCCAUUUCAGCAGAUGGUCACUGAACUGGCCGAUCCUAAAUAUGCUCUGUGCGGUAAGAGUAAGGACGCUGCGUUGGAAUCGAAACAGCUUGGCAAUCAGUGCUUCUUCAACGCAGAUUAUGCCAAGGCUUUGGAGUGCUAUACUCAGGUUCCUUCUUCUUUUUCAAUCGUUCUCUCUCGUGUAGGAGAUUGAAACGUAUUGUGCGUUCGUAGUCGAUUUAACGGUUCUGCAUGUUAUAUUGUACCCUUUUGGUCUUAAAGAAAAAUUUAGUUAAGUCUAAGUCUCACUGUUCCUUACUUGUUCACUUCUUGUAAUAUGAGGUAUAGGCCUUGCGCAAGGCUCCCUUGGACACUGGCCAUAAUCUGGUUGCAACGUUGUAUAUCAAUCGAGCUACUGUAUUGCAUAAAAUGAGUCUUUUAGUUGAAUGUUUGCGAGAUUGCACUCGAGCUCUUCAGAUAUGUCCAAGCUAUCCAAAGGCAUGGUACAGGAGAGGUAAGGUGAAUGCUUCAUUGGGAAAUUAUAAAGAUGCGAUCAGCGACCUAAAUGUGGCUAAGAGUAUGGAAUCUUCAAUGAGUGGGAAGAGAAAAAUAGAAGGUGAACUGAAUACCAUUUUAGACCAGUGCAAGGGCAUGAGUACUGUAGUACAGCCACAGCAUAAGGAGAACAGCUUGAAAACUGUGGGUGAGAUCCCCCAAAUAACACUACAGUGUGUCUCAAUGCCUGAUAAAGGAAGAGGCAUGGUGUCAUCAUGUGUCAUUUCACCUGGGUCUUUGGUUCAUGCUGAAGAACCUUAUGCUAUGAUAAUAUUAAAGCAAUGUCGAGAAACUCAUUGCCAUUAUUGCUUGAAUGAGCUACCUGCUGAUAAAGUUCCUUGUAUAUCAUGUUCAAUACCAUUGUAUUGCUCCCACCAAUGCCAAGUACAGGCAAGCGGGCAAAUGUUCAGGAUCUUCCAUGAAAAUAAUGACAUUCUUAAAAACUUAUCAAGUGAUCUUGGAGAAUAUGCUGCUGAAGUUAUUCAAUGCAGUGUUUCUGAACUAGAAAUUAAGGAUAUUACUGAACAUAAACAUGAAUGUCAAGGUGUACAUUGGCCUAUGGUACUGCCGUCUGAGAUAGUUUUGGCUGGCCGAAUACUAGCAAGGUUUUUACUGAAUUGUACACUUGAAGAUAUUAUAAAAUUCGUGGAAAAUCUGGAGCUUUCUCACUGUUACAAUCAUAUGCCAUCUGAAAGCAAAUUGGAUUCACAUAUAUAUGCCAGUGUAUUAUUAUAUUGUCUUCAACACUCAUUUGGGGCUAUGUUUUCCAUAGAUGGAGUCUCUAUAUCACAGGUUGUCAUUAUUAUUUCUCAAAUUAAAGUGAAUUGUAUGACUAUUGUUCGUUUAAAAUCGAUAGACACUCCCAGACUAUCAGAUCAUUUUGGAGAAUUUUCAUCUCAUUUUGACACUCAUUUGACCAGUAAUGUGGAACAGGUCAGAGUAGGUAAAGGUAUUUAUAAAGCUGGCAGUUUAUUCAACCAUUCUUGCCAACCAAAUGUUCAUGCAUAUUUUCUUUCACGCACUCUCUAUUUACGAACCACAAAAGUUGUAGCAGCUGGGAGUCAGCUGGAAUUGUCUUAUGGUCCACAGGUUGGGUUAUGGGAUUGUGAUGAUCGCAUUAAUUUUCUCAAAGAUGAGUAUGCAUUUCAUUGUCAGUGUACUGGUUGUUCAGAAGUCAAUCUAUCUGAUCUUGUUCUCAAUGGCUUUCAUUGUGUCAAUCCAAAUUGUUCUGGUGCUGUGUUGGGAAGCAGAGUACUUGACCGUGAAAAGCAGAAAAUCAAGCACUACCAUAUUACUGACAAUGUUGACAAGAGCGAUGACAUUUAUGAAGUGUGCUUUCACUUGUUCAAACAAAAUGGUGCCUCUAUUCAUAUUCAACCUGGAUACUGUUUGAAAUGUGGUUCUUACUGUGAUAUGAAGUCUUCACAUGCUGCAGUUGAUAAAGCUUUAAUAUGCAUUAAAAGGUUACAGGAUGCAAUAUUGUCUAAAGAAAUUUCACAUGCUACUAUUUCUGAUGCUUUGAGAUCUCUUCAUUUGUUGAAAUCAAAUUUGCAUGCAUACAACAAGCUUAUUGCAGAGGCAGAAGACAACCUUGCCCAGGCUUUUUGUUUGGUGGGAGAAUUACAGUUAUCUGUGAAUCAUUGUAAAGCAUCUAUCCAGAUUCUGGAAAAGCUGUAUGAUCCUGAUGAUAUUGUUAUUGCUUAUGAACUUCUGAAACUUUCUUCCAUCCAACUUUCCUUGGAUGAUGGUACUGCCGUGGACAGCAUAAAUCGAAUAUGUGACAUCUUCUCAUGUUAUUAUGGACUUCAUGCAGACCUAGUCUUCCCCUAUCUUAAAUACCUUAGGAGAGAAAUUGAGAAGGUUUCAGUGAAGGCUCUCCAAUCAAAUGCUUUUCCCACAAGGUGAGCUGUAAUUGUCCAUCAAUGGUUUAAUGACAGGUCAUUUGAUAUGAAAGAUCUACAAUGGUCAACAACAUCAAGAAAGAUUACUCAAAGCUCAUCCAAACUGGUUGGUAGUCAAGACUUCUUGCGCGUAGAUAAGAAUGAUGCUUUGAAUAUAUUGACCCAGGUGAGAACAAUGCAUAGUUUUUCACAUUGUUGCUGGCUUUCGAGUAUGCUCUAGACACUUGGGAUACUGCCAGGAUGUCAGGCAGGUUUAAAAGGUUUCAGCAAAGCAGAUUAUGGGAAAAGAAAAAAACAAGAAAGACAAGACCAGUAAACUACAGAGGAAUUAAAUCCUGGAGAUCGUAAUCUGCACUCUAUAGUCCUAGAGAAGACGACCAAGCUCUCAGAGGCAUUAUCCUGAGCCCCAAGCUUUACCCAACCAUCACAAACUCCAUUCGUAUGUCUAGUAAUGUGGACUAUGGAAACUAUCCAAUCGCUAUUCAUUGAAGACAGGAUGCUAGAAAUUAACCUCCUCAAGACAGUCACUUUCACAGAUCUCAUUAUGAUAACCACAGCAUCAAGUAUGAGGCAAGCCUUUCUCAACUGCAUUAAAUUUGGCUUGGGAUAUAUGUAAAAGUCUAGUCUUGUUCACUGAAGAUCAUACAUAUUAUUGCGCCACUUCCAUGACCAAAGUUUCGCUUUGAGCAAACCUGCGUUGGCAUCUGACAGAUCCCGAAGCCUUGGAAUCUUGAACAGGAAGCCGUAGCUCCGAAAUCUUUUUUCAUUGGUAGGCCAAGCGGAAAAAUACAAGUUGAAUUGGGUAGUUGGAAUAAUUUUAUUUAAUCCGAACUAAUUUAUCAACUAGUUUGGUUAGGGCUUUAUUUUUCAAAUUUUAUUCAAUGUUAUCACCAUAAAUAUAGUUUUAUAAUAAUUUAAUAUAAUAAUCACCUG